rnacentral:rRNA from 1 species
CACUGCAGUCGACGAGAAGUGGAGCAAUCCAUGAGUAAAGUGGCGCACGGGUGAGUAACACGUGACUAACUUACCCUUGAGUGGGGAAUAACCUCGGGAAACCGGGGCUAAUACCGCAUAACACCUUCGGGUCAAAGGAGCAAUUCGCUUAAGGAGGGGGUCGCGGCUGAUUAGCUAGUUGGUGGGGUAAUGGCCUACCAAGGCAAUGAUCAGUAUCCGGCCUGAGAGGGCGCACGGACACACUGGAACUGAAACACGGUCCAGACUCCUACGGGAGGCAGCAGUGGGGAAUUUUGCACAAUGGGGGAAACCCUGAUGCAGCAACGCCGCGUGGAGGAUGAAGUCCCUUGGGAUGUAAACUCCUUUCGACCGGGACGAUUAUGACGGUACCGGUGGAAGAAGCCCCGGCUAACUCUGUGCCAGCAGCCGCGGUAAUACAGAGGGGGCAAGCGUUGUUCGGAAUUAUUGGGCGUAAAGGGUGCGUAGGCGGUGCGGUAAGUCUUCUGUGAAAUCUCCGGGCUCAACUCGGAGCCUGCAGGAGAAACUGCCGUGCUUGAGUAUGGGAGAGGUGAGUGGAAUUCCUGGUGUAGCGGUGAAAUGCGUAGAUAUCAGGAGGAACACCUGUGGCGAAAGCGGCUCACUGGACCAUAACUGACGCUGAGGCACGAAAGCUAGGGGAGCAAACAGGAUUAGAUACCCUGGUAGUCCUAGCCCUAAACGAUGAUUGCUUGGUGUAGCAGGUACCCAAUCCUGCUGUGCCGCAGCUAACGCGUUAAGCAAUCCGCCUGGGGAGUACGGUCGCAAGGCUG